CAAGGACUUAUCCGAUUUUAAAAAAAAAAAAAAAGUACAGUUGCCCGAAUCCCCAAAACGAUGGUUGUCAAGCAGCUUCUCGAUUGCUAACAGAUCAUACACGAAAACUGGAAUUCCACUCACACUUGAAGUUUCAGUCAGUGCCACAAAAGCAAUCUCUGAUGGAUGCUGCACAUGUGCUAAUGGCCAGAGUGGGCACUGUGGACAUAUUGUGGGCUUGCUGUACCAGCUUGCUCAUUUUAAGAUAACAGGAACAAACUAAAUUCCUGAGGUCAUCUUGACAAUGAAGAGGGAUGAUCUGAGACUAUUUUUAGGAUGCUGCAAAAAACAUCACUGCCCAGA